AACGAACGCUGGCGGCAGGCUUAACACAUGCAAGUCGAACGAGAUCUUCGGAUCUAGUGGCAAGCGGGUGAGGAACACGUGGGAACAUCCCUUUCAGUUCGGAAUAACGUUGGGAAACUAACGCUAAUACCGGAUACGUCCUUCGGGAGAAAGAUUUAUCGCUGAAAGAUUGGCCCGCGUCUGAUUAGCUAGUUGGUGAGGUAAUGGCUCACCAAGGCUACGAUCAGUAGCUGAUCUGAGAGGAUGAUCAGCCACAUUGGGACUGAGACACGGCCCAAACUCCUACGGGAGGCAGCAGUGGGGAAUAUUGGACAAUGGGCGCAAGCCUGAUCCAGCCAUGCCGCGUGAGUGAUGACGGCCUUCGGGUUGUAAAGCUCUUUUGUCCGGGAAGAUAAUGACUGUACCGGAAGAAUAAGCCCCGGCAAACUUCGUGCCAGCAGCCGCCGUAA
rnacentral:rRNA from 1 species